rnacentral:tRNA from 1 species
UCCUGGUUAGCUCAGUUGGUAGAGCGCUCCACUGGAAAUGGAGAGGUCACUGGCUAGAUACCGGGAC